rnacentral:rRNA from 1 species
UGGGGAAUCUUGCACAAUGGGCGAAAGCCUGAUGCAGCGACGCCGCGUGCGGGAUGAAGGCCUUCGGGUUGUAAACCGCUUUCAGCAGGGACGAGGCCGCAAGGUGACGGUACCUGCAGAAGAAGCCCCGGCUAACUACGUGCCAGCAGCCGCGGUAAUACGUAGGGGGCAAGCGUUAUCCGGAUUAAUUGGGCGUAAAGCGCGCGUAGGCGGUUUGUUAGGUCAGGAGUUAAAUCUGGGGGCUCAACCCCUAUCCGCUCCUGAUACCGGCAGGCUUGAGUCUGGUAGGGGAAGGCGGAAUUCCAAGUGUAGCGAUGAAAUGCGCAGAUAUUUGGAAGAACACCGGUGGCGAAGGCGGCCUUCUGGGCCACGACUGACGCUGAGGCGCGAAAGCUAGGGGAGCGAACAGG